GCCGUUAAAUAGACCAUCAAACAUUUUGUGAAUGUAGAAUGUGAGGUUAUGAGCAAGUUAAUGUUUAUAAACAUAAAUCAUUUAAGUUUUCGUUCAAAUAAAUAGAAACAAUAAAAUGCAAGAUACACAUUAUACGCGUAAAGAAGAAUCUUGCUCAGAUUGUAAAAACGAAACAUUAAAAAAAAAGUAUUUUUGUGACAAAUGCCUGUUUUCAGCUGCAAAAAAAUGGAAAGUGGAAGAACAUAGGAAAUAUCAUGAAUUUAUUCCAGGAAUUAAUUUGUUUGUGUGCAAUUUUUGUCCAUUUCGGUCUCCUAAACAAUCUCAACUAGAUCGACAUUUGAUGUUCACUCACGCCGAAGAAGCGAAUUUGAAAACUUAUUCAUGUAGAACUUGUGCGGCAACAUUUAUUUCUAAAAGUGGAUUGAAAAAACAUAGAAAAGAGGGACAUUAUAAGGAUUAAAACAGUUUGACAUUAUUAGAAGUAGGGUAACUAUAUGAUUUGUAUAAUAAUUAAAUAAUUUCAAGACUAUUAAUUAAGUUUUAGACUAAUUGAGUAGUUUCAAAGUUAAAUUAAUUCAUUCUGUAACUGCAAAACCAGGGUUUACUAACCAAGAGAUUGGAAAAAAUUCAACACUUCACAAUUAGUUAAUGUUGCAUUUAUGUUAUUUUUAUCUAAACUAAUCUAAAAUAAAUAUAAUUCAGUGGUAGUUUUCUGAGAUUUUUUACGUAUGAUUGAAAAGCUGAAGAACUUCUGAUGUGAUUUAAUUCCAAAUAAGUCUUCUGAUACUAAAAUCAUAUUAGAGUAGAAAUUGUAUUAACUUACUAUCACCAGAAAAGAAAUCUGUAAAUCUAUUGUGGUCUUUCCUUACUGUUUAGAUUCACGGGUAGGCAAUUUCCUCUUGUAUUUGUGAAUGCUGCCAAUAAUAUAUAGGUCUAAGUUUACAGUCUAAGUUUAAAUUUAAUAUAUAAGUCUAAGUCUAAGAUACUUUUAGCAGCGAUUUUUCUUAAGAAAUAUGUCCGAUUUUUUUAGGUUUGAUUAGGAAAUGGUGUGAACUAAAUCCACUGAAUCAGAGCAGUAUUUGCGAUUUUAUGUAGAUAAAACGAAAUUAGUUAAAAAUGAAAUAUGCUUAUCCAACAAAAAAUGAAAUGCCAAACAUGUACAAAAAAACAUAAAAGUUACAUUUACUGUUUUUUUUUCACAUAUCGUUUCCUUUGGGUCUCGUAUGAAAUAAGAUAUGAAGAUUUUUAAUGAAAUCCUGGUUAUUAAAAAUAAAACUAAUGAUUUCGUGACCGCCGCAAUUGAAAAUUACUGUGAUAACACAAAAAAUAAAUUGAAUUCUAUUAGAAAUUGGUCAUAAAAAGAAUCAAAACUCUCAUGAAAACUAGGGACAUAAUUGUCAGCCAGAAGAAAACGUUUCGUCACUACAGAGAACCAUACCAUACAAAAUAAUGCUAUUUAAAUUCCUAGAAUAAAUUCUAAUAGAUAUUUUUAACAGUACAGUACAGUAUUAUAAUUGUUGAGAGUACUAUAUUUAUAUGUGGUGCGCUGCUGCGCAGUAGCACACACACCUUGUAGUCUUUACAUCAUGUAUUCAAUUCAAAUGUUUCAAAUUGGCGUGUCGUUUUGGGUGCCAAUUCCCAUUGGCUGCUUCCUAGCUGGUGCACUAUAGCACACCUUGUAGUUUUUACAUCAUGGAAGAGCUUAUACGCAUGACGUGUGCUUUGACAGGCCCCAGGAAGAUGUUCUAUUGUACAGAAGUUUCUUUUGUUGCUCUAAUUAACAGGCAAUAAAGCUUUUUUAUUACCUACCUUAACAAUAAUAACAUAGAAAAAUCAUUUCUCAAAAACAGCGAAAUCUAUUGGAAAAUCGUAGUACCUUUGUCCCCUACAACUACGAAAGAGAGCUGUUUACUCGGACUAAACAGGAGGGCUCACUGCAGGGACUUUUUAAAAAAAUUAAAACUUCUGACUCUUUCUUCCUUAUUCAUCGUUAAAUCCGUUUGCCUAAUUCGUAAGCACACUUCUCCAAUUUCAGAAAGGCUAUCUACUUGGGAACGCGGUGUACGACCUUUACCUACCUUUCCACGCUCCAAAUUAGUUAAGGGCUCAAUAUUUUACAAUGCAAAAAAUGCACAAUCACUUGCCAAUUAAAAUCAAAUCGAUAUCAUCUUUUCCCGCAUUCCGCAAUAAUUUUAGGGCAUAUUUACUGGAAAGUGCCUUCUACUCUGUAAACGACUUUAAUUUUGUUGUGCACUUAUAUACGAAUUAUUACCUAGUAUUAGUGAGAACAGGAAGUACAUUGUUAAAAAUGAGAAGCAAUGGUCUUGAAUUGCCUAUAUAUACGAGGGUGGUUCAAAUAUAAACCGGAAUUUUUGAAUAAACGCAAAAAAAUGUAGUGUCCUAAAAGUGGCUGCACUGAAUGCUAGAUUGGUCUAUUACGAAGCGUAGAAAUCAGCCGGGAAAGCGUAACCUCGCGUUUUUUGUAUGGUCGGUCUGCGUUGAUAUUGUCUUUUUAACUGUUUGUGGUCUAUUGCUAAUAUUUGUCUUAUUCUUGGCAGCAGACUUUUCCAGCAUAAUUGUCAUUUGUUUAAUACUUUUUCUCAGAACAGCUAUUUUUUUUUGAUAACACUUCUAUUGCUGAGUCGUGAAUCUGGACUUAAGCAGAUCCAUUAUGAUUGUCCAUGAAACUAGAAUAGAGAUUGUUGUUCAUUUUCAGACUGUGUAUAUCGUCAAUUUUCUUGUAUAAGAUGUUCCAUUUCGAGAGAUAGUUGAAAAGAUGUCAUUGUUCUUUUCUAAGUAGGAACCUAGAGCUUCGACAUUUUCUAGAUGGAUCUGAAAUUUUUGUAGCUGUGACAGUUCAUCGUGAAGAUAUUUUAGAGUGGUAGAAUCACAAAAGGUGCAGAAAACUAAUAUUAUGGUAGUUUUUAUGAUAGAGCACCUUUGUUAUAGUCUUGUUCAGUCCAAUACCAAAAUUUCUGCGACACUCCCCACUACAGCGGAGUAUAUUUUUUCCUUUUAUAAGACGGUCUUUCGACAAGAAUCACAUUUAAAUUCAUUCAUAUUAAAGUAAAAUUCAAUACUCCUAAUUAAAUGUCAAUGAAAGCAAAAUAAAGUUAUUUAGUUAAUCUGAAAAGUAAAGAAAUAUCACUGGUAACUGGACACAAGGUCAAGUUAAGUAAAAAAAAACACAUGUAGUAGCGAAAACUAGCAGGUCUAUAAGAUGUUGGACCGAAACAAAAACUGCGUGUGUAUUGCGUAACGCAUUAUUAUUCGUUUUUUAGUCAAAGAUGAUUUAAAAUCUGCGGAUUUAUCGAGUGCUUCUCUAAGAUUCAAGUGUAUGAAUGGUGUUCUGCUGUCCGAAAAGGAUGAGAAAUAGUGGCAAACUUGCCACAUGCUCGGCGCCCCAGAACAAGUGUUAUCGAUGAGAACGUUAGCUCUGUAGAAAAACUCAUUUUGGGAGACCGACGCAGUAUUGUACGCAAUGAACUGGGCAUUAGCGUACGUAGUAUUCAGCAAAUAAUUUAUGAAGAGCUCGCUUACCGCAAAAUUUAAGCCAGAUGGGUGCCGAGUCUUCUGAAUUUUGAGCAGAAAUUCACACGCUGGGAAGUUUGCGCGCGUUUCCUGCAGCAGUAUGAAGAGGAAAGAUAAAAUAUAUUGCACCGAAUAAUCACAACAGACUAGACUUGGGUACACCACUAUAUUACAAAUAAAGCGAAGCAUUGUCAGCGGGGUAGGUGUUGUGUACCGUGUUUUGGGACAUGAAAGGAGUAAUUGUGGUUGAUUUUCUCACUGAACAACGAACUAUAAACGCGCAAUAUUAUAGUAACCUCCUAAAAAACAUGGUAAAACACUGUCUACAGAUCAAAACGACGCGAUAUACCAAUCCGUAGUGCGAUAUUGCUGCAAGACAACGCCAGAUCGAAUACAGCUCAGCUCACGAUGGCAAUGCUGAACGAAUUGGGUUGGGACACUCGAACACCCUCCUUAUAGUCUCGAUUUGUUGUCAUGUGACUAUUAUUUAUAUGGUUGAAUGAAUGUAGCUCUUGGCGGGCUACGAUUCGAAAGCAAUUCGACUGGUUACGAGCGCGACUGGUUAGGUGACAAGCCGAGAUAUUUUUACGAAAAGGGCAUCCAAAAGCUUCUGGAGACGUGGCAAAAGUAUGUAAUUGAUAAAAAAUUUCAACUCUGUAAAUUAAUGAUAAUUUUUAUAGCAAACUUCUAUUUUAUAUUUGAACCAUCUAUUAAAAAAAAAUAAAAUGUGGUUGCUAAGCAUUUACUACAGGAAAAAAAUAACAAAUUUAAUGUUUACAAUUUUAUUUGGAGAAUGUCACUUAUUGUACAGAUGUUAUUACAAUACAUCGGCUCGUUUUAGCAUCUUGUUUUCGACUCAAUCAAAUUGUCAAGGCACCAUACCAUUCAAAGUACGUUUUAACUGAUUGUCAACGUGAAAUAAUAAUUAUACAAUUCUUGGUAUUGAAAUGAAAAGUAUUCCUGUCUAUAAAAUACUGUACUAUAAUUGAUUAUACAUUUUUAUUAAAACAAGAAAUGAAAAUUCCAUUACUAAAGUAAGCUUUAAUCAUAUUAUUUUAAGAAAUUAAAAGGAAAGAAAACAUUCCCAUAUUGAGAAUAUUUUCUCAAUUUGGGAAAAAGAAAAUUCAUGAUUUUGGUCACGUCAAUCCUAUAAAUUUCGCAACUAAUCAAAAUUGAAACAUUGUCCAACCAGUCUUUAAUAUGAUUGUUGAAACAUCUGACAAACAAAAACAAUCCUUCCCUCCAGGUCCUUGAGGGUCGUCUUCGUCUUCUUUUAUUCUGUGAUUGAUACAUCAUUCCUUUGGCCACCUGUUCUGCUCCAUCCUCAUCACAUGUCCGUUUCUCUCUGUAGUCGUGUAUACUCGACCUGUUCUUCGUUGCACAUCUUCAUUUCGUAUAUAUGCUCUGUUCUGGACAUCCUGCACGAUCUUCUCAAGUACAUUGUCACAGCCUCUCUUUUUUCUCCUGUCCAUCUGUUAGUUGCCACUAUGACUUUGUAUAUUGUCAUUAUUAUUACAAUUUUUUCUGAUCAAACAAAUGAGUUCAGAACUUUUGCAGCUUUUUCCCUUUGUUGCACUCUAUUUCUUAUAUUUUUUUUUGUUCAAAUUCCGAAAUUAUGCUUCCUAGGUAUUUGAAUUGUCUACAUCAUCUAACCCUAUUUAUUUGCAGUCUCCUUAGGGGCUUCCUACCGGCAGAUAUUCUGUUUUUGACAUAUUCAUAUUCAAACCCCAUUUUGCAUAUUCCUGGUCCAAUUUUCUCAGCAUAUAAUCUGCAUCUUUCUCGUCGUAAGCUAUAAUAACUUGGUAGUCUGCGACAAAUAGAGCUGUUAAGCACUUAUCCUCUAUAUCAAUUUCCACUCUUCCACAGAAAACCCCCUCAAUUUUUCCAUUGUUUAGGGUCUAGAAUGUUUGAUCAACGAGAGACUGAAUCGAUAAAAUGCUUCCAUAGUAAGGUCUUGAAACUAUGUUAAAAAGCCGUCAAUCGGAUCUAAAUUGGAAUUUUUGGAACCGUUGGUGAUAUAUUGAAUACACUGUUUACACUAUCACUACAGCAACACUCAUAAUUACAUUGUAUGACGCGCGAGUGUUGCUAUAGUGGUAGUGUAAACAGUGUGUUCACCAUCAGCCAGACAGGAGAUAAAUGAUCUUCCGAUUUUGUUUUCCUGACCAGACUAUGUAAAAGUUUGUACUUGGUUACCCAUACACAUACUUGAAUAACUUUACUUGGUAAAGGAACUUGCAGAUCAAAAUGGCGUAGUUUAUAUCCAGAAAUUUCUCUUCUCAAAUUAUAUUUUGACAUGAACUGGGAAAAUGGGGCCUUAUGAAGAAGUAAAUUGCUUUAAAAUAUGCCAGGCGCAGAGAGGACAGUUGCUGCUGUUUAGGGACAAUCCUUCAUGAAAUGAAUGUUGACAUAAUAAAUUCCCAAUACCCCUUUUUCAUUAUAUCAAUUUUUCUUUCCGUUUGCCUAAUUUGUUAAUCUGUUUAUAUCGAAUUCAAUAUAUAAAAAUUUAUUUCAAGUGACAAUCAUUUUAAUGAGUACAACGCAACUAUUUGCCUUUAGAACCAACAAAUAAGUGGGGGUAUUUAUAAGAAAGGUCAAUUAUACUAUUUUUACAAUAUACUAAAUCCACUAACAAUCUUAUACCUUAUCUUUAUACAUAUUAUACAUUUACAAUGAUUGCAAAUCGCACAACUUUGUAAAACUUUUUAUUUCGGCUAUAGAUAUAUUUUCUGUUUCGUAUAAAAUUUAUUUCAAAAUUGUAGCACUUUAACAAAGUGUUUUUGCAUCUAGCCUGUAAAACUGCAUUUUCUAAAAGACAAAAAAAUAUAAAUUCCAUACAUAGUCUAGUCUAGAGCUCGUUCGAUGCGGAAUUUUAAGUUAUAAACAAUUAAACACCUUCAAAAAAUAAUAGUGUUUGGUUUUUCGUCUACUGAAAAAAGUUCUUAUAUUAUUAAUUAACAAAAUAAUUGUCAUAAAUGUUUCUGCUUCAAAAUAAGAUUGCACCAUAAAAGCUUCAAAAAUAUAAUGACUUUUUUAUAAUAAUUUUUUGACAAAACAAUGUUAUAAUGUCAUUUAUCAUAUCACUAUCAAUAUUUCGAAAAAAAAUUCACAAUUUUGUAGAGAACUUUCAAUUUAAAAAAAAUUUUCACAUUACGAGCUAUACGCGUAAAACAAAACACUAUUUAUUGGAGGUGUUCAAUUGUUAUUCACUUUUGGAAUUUUUUAUAGGUCAAUCAACUUUUUACGCACAAUGAUUCAAACAUCAUUCAUCGAUUGAGCUAAUCCACAUAAUUUUUGUAAUAGUAUGCCAAAUUUCAUCUAUUUAAACUUGUAGAUUAAACUAACAGCUAUUAAAAAAGAAAUAUCGAUAGAUGAAUUAUAUUAUGCUAUUCAUCUUUGUUGCUUUUAUUAAAAAGGAUAAAAAAUAUACAAGGCAAAAAUUAUUUGAAGGCGAUUUUGCGAUAAAAUCACAUACAGAUGUAGUUCCCAAAGAUUCAUUGCUGUUCUGGGACAAAAUCUUUUCUCUUUUUCACUACAUUUUGGACGAAAGUUAUACGAGAGCAUACACAUUUCGCCGACUGAUAAGUGUCAGGGUCAGUUAAACGAUACCAAACUGUCGUGCUAGGAAAAGACAAUAUCUUACAUACUGGGAAAGAACGACCAUCAUUAUAUCGAAUUUUUGAAAAAACGCUCCAAGCUCUUCUAUUGAUUGAUGGAUUUAAUCUACGGUUUCCCUUGUUCUUCGAACGCCUGUAUCAUCAACGUUACAAGCUUAUCGCGGCCCUCACGCAAACCUGUACCGAAUGAACUUCUGGUAUCCGUUACUCGAUCUUCCGUGUUAGCGUCGGCUACAUUACGGUGGAAGUCGUGACAGUCGACUAGUGUCAAAUUAGUCAAUUAUUUUAUUCGAAACACGAACAUUUAAAAAUUGUGGUGCACCAUAAUACACUGUAUUGGCAAGGACUUUUUUCAGGGCUGCUUUUUCAAUAUCAGGCAAAGAUUGGAGAUUUUCAAAUUCAUUAUGAAGAAGAUUAACAUAAAAUUAAUUGUGCAAUUGUAUGAAAAACAUGAGCAGAUCAAAUUGUGUUCUUAUCGACAAAACGAUUUUUUUUCGUUAAUAAACCUUGUAACUAAUAUAGCAUUCAGAAUGCCUCCUGUGAAUAAAAAUGAGGAUAAUUAGAUCCUGAGAGAAUUUUAUUAUGGUUUAUAUAUACAAAUAGCGGAAUCAAUCGUAUUUAUCAGUUAAAUGGGCGUAUUGCAGGAAUAACUCCCUCUUGUACACGUAUGUAUGUAUGUACGAGCCCCGUGCCAUUUCAGUUGGCCCGCAAUUCGAAAUUAUUAAACUUUAUUUUAAAUGGGAUGAUGAUCUCCAGUUGGAGAUAGUUUCUCUUUUGAUUAAACUGAACACAUUUUUCAAUUGCAUAGAUUUCUGCUUGAAAAAUGCUUGGUGCAUUGCCCAGGUUUCCAGAGUGUUUGGUUCACCCCAAUAUCCAGCCCUAUACACCCAAAAACAUACUAGAAACGAGCUUUUCUCUCUCUUUGCUACACAGAAUGCCGUCAAAGUAUACAUCUAUUGUAUCUAGACACGUGUUUUGACGAGAGAAAACGGUAGGACUGCUAGUCAUCCACGCUCUCGAUUUAUUCCAUUGUCCACUAAGUCUAUUAGAAAAUGGACGUUGUUUAAGUGAAUCUGUUAGAUACUUUAUGUGUAUACACAUCAACAGAACCUAUAUUUACACAGAAAAUUCUUAUAGAAUGGUCUCCUGUAAGUAAUAACUGUGUACUAGGUCUUAAUUUAUUAAGAAUAUCCCGGAGAAACAUCUAGUUGUCAUUAGAAGUGGGAAAUAUAUCUUAAUUAAGAAUUUCAUCAAUUUUAAGAAGGCAAUUGGGAAACCAAGAAAGAUUAGUUAAGGCUAUAAUCUCCUAUAAACGCCGUACACGAUCUUUACUAUAGAAAUGUAUUGUUGUGGUUUCUUUCAAAUGUUGACGUUGGCGUGUGGAUACUGUAGGCGCCAUUCAAACCAUUGUAGCGUAAACGUAGUAUUUGGUGUCAGCACAAAAUGUCGAAAUUUGAUAAAGAAAAAGAAAGACAAAUUAUUAAUUGAAAUAGUCCAAUCUUACUGUGCAUUAUACAAUAGAAGUGACAAGCAACUUUUUCUUCAGGUGAUAUGGGUUUAGGAUGGCAGUUUUAUUAUAUAUUUCCCCACAAGUUCAACGAUAUAUUUGAAUUGUUCUUGAUUGAUACGAACAUAUUCAACAAAAUUAGUAUUGUUGUCUUUUACAUUACAUUAUAAAAAUCUGGAAACAUCCUUUUUUCUCCUUCUUAAUAAAUAAUCGAUAACUUGUUGCUAUGAUUUUUUUUCGUAUGCGGUUGUCUUGUGCCUCCUUUUCAAGUAACAAGCGCCGCCAAAAGUGUCGAAUUUAUAUUCAUUUUAUAUCACUCGACUACACGCUAACACUGUGGAUUACUGUUGUGAAUGAAACGUUGUCGUUUGCGUAUGAGAUGUAUUGACCGCUGACGCUGCACCUGGCGUUCAGACGUCGAUCGGAACGUUUACGCCGCAUAUAGCAUUUAAUAGGAGAUCGAGGUCUGAAACUAAUGAACUAACGGAAACCAGUUAUUUGGUGGUAUUUUGAGAAAACUGGAGUUCUUAAGAACCUACUUUAAUGCUUGUCUCUACGAUUACAACAAUCCCGCAUUGUACUCAAAAAAGAUAAAAAAGUUAAGGGAUUAAAUUUGUAUGAAAUUCCACAAACUUUCAUUCUAUAAGGACAAUUUCUUUCUAAACAUUUCACUAUUCAAAGUAUAAUGAAAAAAAGCAUUUUCUCACGAUAAACUCAAGAGUAAGAGUUUUUUUCUCAAAAUGAAUCUUAUUAAGAAGGUUUGUGCCAAAAUCUUAUUUUACUGAACUAUCUAUGCAUAAACUGUCUUUGCUUGUACUUCGCGUCACCACCUUCAAAAUAACUCCUCCAGUGAUGACCAUCUAUGAGAUCCCUACCGGAAAAUUUAUGGGCAUCACCUCCUCUUUUCCGUCGCCAUGUUGUUAUACUUUUUAUUCGAAAUAAUAGUGAGAUCAGAAUGACUUAAAAAAUGUCAUGCGAUUGUCUUUUAGAAUCUGAUUUUCUACAGGUGUUUGUAAUACAUAUUAGUUUAUCUAUAUAUGACGUAUUAUUACUUUUUUAAAAUUUUAGACAUCUAAAAUUGUGGGGCUAAUAUCACAUGGGUUAUUUCGACGUUAAAUUGAUUUGAGAAUACUAAAAUAAUUUUGGUAUAAUUAGGUGUCAACUUUUCUUUGCAUUGUGCGGAAUAUAUUUAUCUAACAAAUUCAGUUAAACAAUCCUCAUUUCUGAAGAUUGGAUAGUUAGUUAUAUGAAGACAUCGUGAACUGACUUACAAUUUAUUAUAAAAAUGUAGUCGUCGUGGUGUAGUUUAAUGGUGUUCUGUCUGCUAACCAAAUCGGCUGGGGUACAAAUUCGGGUCCUUCAAAAAAUGAAAAUUCGGCGUACCACAUGUAGGAAGAAAAAGACAAACGACUGAUAGUAUAUUGUGCCUUAUACAUAAUUAAACUACAGGUACUUUCUGUCUGUGGUAAAUAGAGAGUACAACAGAGGUAGAAAUGACAGGCCGCUCACAUCCCAUUACACAAAAAUAAAAAGAAUGGAAAAAUUACAAGUUCAUAUCAGAAAUGUGAUAUAGCAUCCCCUUCUGUUUUUAUCAUUCCAUGGAUAUGAUUGGAGGAUGAUUAUUUUCAAGGCUCUUAGUAGCUAUUUUGUAUAGUAGAGAAUUUAAUUACUUUUGUUCUCUCAUAAUUGUGAUCACCAAACAACAAAGAUCCUUUCAAAUCUUGGUUUAAGUUAGCGUUGCGCAAAAAUGAGAUAAGAAUUCACUCCAAAAAAUACUAUGGCCUCUUCGAAAACAGGAAUUAUUUACUUUUUUCUUAAUUAUCACCGUAAAACAAGCCUACGGUCCCAGUAUUGCAGACAAAAGUCCAAGAUCAAGACAACGUUAAUCGCCUUCUUUAAUAACAAUGGAAUCAUUAAUUCGUUGAUGUUGGUUAAACUAUGAACACCGCAUUUUACGAUGAUUUAUUAAAAUAGUUGCUACAACGUAUCCGGCGUGUUCGGUUGUUCAGUUGAACAGGACUGGGCAGUGGGUCCUGUUGUUUGAUAACGCACUCUGCAAUCCACGUGCGCAAAUUCUUUGCUCAGCAUUGCGUAACUUUCCUGAAUUCACCACCGUACUCCACAGACCUGGAACCUGGGUAUUUCUUUGUGUUUGACUGCAGGAAAGAAGUUCUAACAGACACACGUUUUACAGACGUGUGACAUUCGUUUUGCAAUCAAUUCUAAAAGAAGCACUUCCUGACAGAUUUAAGGAGCUUUACGAACGUUGUCAAACUUGAAUUGUGUACAAUGGAAAUUAUUGUGAACACCAAUAAGGGUAAUCUACUAGGAUGGUUCCAGAAGUAGCGGACCUGACCUAGAGAUGGCGGCAGUUGCUUGGAAAAUACUACUGUAUUAGAAAGUACACAAUCUAAACAGCAUAUGUAGUCUGAAGACCCCACGUUGUUUAGUAUUUGUUUGACAGCCAUCAAUAGUGAAACGUUUUCAGUGAAUUUGUAAACAUGGAAAAAAUUGAUCAUCGUUAUGUGAUACAAUACUUUUAUUUGAAAGGCAUUAAUCCAACCAAUAUACAAGUUGAACUAGAUUCUACUCUGGGAGAGACUGCUCCUUCCUUAUCAACAUUAAAAUAUUGGGAGCUGAGUUUAAAUGAGGCCGUACAACCUGCGAAGACCAGCAUCGCAGUGGUCAACCAAAUGAGAUGACGACUCUAGAAAUAUUGAAGAAAAUCCAAAAGCAGUACUUGAUGAUCGUCGACUGAAAGUGCGCGAGCUAGAAGGUGGUACAUCGUAUAUUAACUGAAAGUUUGGACAUGAGCAAACUGUGUUGUUUCAUCAAGACAAUGCACCAGCUCACACAUCUGUUAUUGCAUUGGCCAAAAUUAAUGAAUUAAAGUUUGGAUUGCUACUCAUGCACCCAUAUGCGCUAGACGUGGUUACCUCGGAUUAUUUUCUGUUCCCAGACUAGAAAAAAUGGCUUGAAGGUGAAAGAUUUUCCAACUAUGAAUAGUUGAUCACUUGUUCUACAGUAGAACAAGUGAUGUCCUUCAAAUAUUUAGGGACAAACAUAACAAGCGGUAGAAAUCUAAAGAAAGAAGUAAAAGCACAAACAACGAAGGCAGCAUUAAUAUCAGGAUACCUUAGAGAUUUAAUUUGGCGAAAUAAAUACAUUAGCACAAAAUGUAAACUUAGAAUAUAUAAUAACUUGCGUUAGGCCGGUCAUGACAUAUGCAAUAGAAACUAGAGCGGAGAACACAACCACUAAACGGCUCCUAAGAACAACAGAAAUGCGGACUCUGAGAUCAAUAACAGGACAUACGUUACUCGAUCGGAAGAAAAAUGAAGAAAUAAGGGACAUGUGCGAUAUUCAGGCUGUAGUAAGAUGGACAAGGAGCCGCAGAAGAGAAUGGAGGGACCAUGUUGACAGAAUGCCAAAUGAACGGUUAGCAAAAAUUGCAAAGGAAAAGAAACCAGACACAACUCGACCUCCUGGACGACCACCUAUAAAGUGGUAUGAAAGCUGGUCCUCAGCAUCCCAACUACUCCUGGCAAACCCUUGAUGAAAAUACAGGACCUAGUCCUAACGUAAGAAGAAUAGGUGAUGUCGGCAGUUAAUGGAUAUUUUGAGGAGUUUGACAAUUCUUAUUAUAAAAAGGGUAUCGAACUUAUUGAACAUUGCUGGGAAUAGUGUAUUUAAAAGGGAGCUAAAAGAAUAUUACAUUGGAAGAUAAAUAUAUUUUUUGUUUUCUUUGUUGAGCCAAGUACUUCUGGGUCCAUCUUCGUAUACGAUGGACUCGACGUAUACAUUCAUAAUACUGAUCAAUUUCGAUGCUAAUAAAAUUACUGAAAAGUAGGGUAUUCUAAUAAUGGAAUAGGAAUCUAUUUUACAGAAUUUACAGUGGUUAACUUCAUUAACGAUUUAAAAUUAAUAUUUCUGCAAAAUAUGAUUGAAAAAUUGACCCCUCGAAGAAUUUAAACCUGAAAAAAGUUUCCGAAAUUAUACAAAAUUAAAUAUUACUACUUUGUACUCAUUUAUUUUAUAUAUUGAUUUGUCUAUAUUUUGAGGAUUUUUGUCAAAUGAAUAUGUCACAUAUAGAUAAACCAAAAAUUUCUAUUUCCUCUUAUACUAAGCAUAUUUAUCUAUUGAUUUAUUAUAUAUAUUGUACCUACAUUCAUCUUAUAUUUAAGUUUUAUUGCUUACGAGAAAAUCAAGUGUAAACUUUCAAGUAUUUUCAUUUAUAACAACAAUUUAGUAUUAUGAUACAAAAUAAUUGUAAUAUUGCUUCUGGUUACCAAAAAUAUCACCUUAUAAAUAAGCAAGUGUUUUUGUGCAAAAAUACGUAACUAUUAUAUUACUAGCAUUUUAUAUACAGAGUGGACCAUUUUUUUCAAUAAAACGUUUUUAUGAUGAAA